rnacentral:rRNA from 1 species
GCUGGCGGCGUGCUUAACACAUGCAAGUCGAACGCGCAGCAUUCUGUAGCAAUACAGGGUGUGGGCGCGUGGCGAACGGGUGCGUAACACGUGGAUAACCUUCCUUGAGGUGGGGAAUAACCCAGUGAAAAUUGGGCUAAUACCGCAUAACACAGCGAUGGCACAUGCUGUUGCUGUCAAAGGCGCAAGUCGCCACAAGAGGGAUCCGCGGCCGAUUAGCUUGUUGGCGAGGUAAUGGCUCACCAAGGCAAUGAUCGGUAGCCGGACUGAGAGGUUGGCCGGCCAUACUGGAACUGAGACACGGUCCAGACUCCUACGGGAGGCAGCAGUGGGGAAUCUUGCACAAUGGACGAAAGUCUGAUGCAGCAACGCCGCGUGGGGGAUGAAGCUUCUCGGAGUGUAAACCCCUUUCGACCCGGAAGAAUGCCCGCAAGGGUAUGACGGUACGGGUAUAAGAAGCCCCGGCUAACUACGUGCCAGCAGCCGCGGUAAUACGUAGGGGGCCAGCGUUGCUCGGAAUUACUGGGCGUAAAGGGUCCGUAGGCGGUGUAGCAAGUCGAUAGUGAAAUCUCUGCCUUAACGCAGAGGCUGCUAACGAAACUGCUGUGCUAGAGUGUGAGAGAGGCGAGUGGAAUUACGGGUGUAGCGGUGAAAUGCGUAGAUAUCCGUAGGAACAUCCGAGGCGAGGGCGGCUCGCUGGAUCACAACUGACGCUGAGGGACGAAAGCUAGGGGAGCAAACAGGAUUAGAUACCCUGGUAGUCCUAGCCCUAAACCAUCAGGACUUGGGGUUUGCCCUGUACGGGGCAAGUCCCGUAGCUAACGCGUUAAGUCCUGCGCCUGGGGAGUACGGUCGCAAGGCUGAAACUCAAAGGAAUUGACGGGGGCCCGCACAAGCGGUGGAACAUGUGGUUCAAUUCGACGCAACGCGAAGAACCUUACCUGGGCUUGAACCGCACAGGACCAGCUCCAGAAAUGGGGCCUUCCCGCAAGGGACCUGUGUAGAGGUGCUGCAUGGCUGUCGUCAGCUCGUGCCGUGAGGUGUUGGGUUAAGUCCCGCAACGAGCGCAACCCUUACUCAUAGUUGCUACCCGCAAGGGAGAACUCUAUGAGGACUGCUCCGGAUAACGGAGAGGAAGGUGGGGAUGAGGUCAAGUCAGCAUGGCCUUUAUGUCCAGGGCUACACACGUGUUACAAUGCGCGCCACAAAGCGUUGCAAACCCGCGAGGGGGAGCUAAUCGCAAAAAAGCGCGCUCAGUUCGGAUUGCAGUCUGCAACUCGACUGCAUGAAGCCGGAAUCGCUAGUAAUGGCGCAUCAGAACGGCGCCGUGAAUACGUUCCCGGGCCUUGUACACACCGCCCGUCACAUCACGAAAGUGGGCUGUACUAGAAGUCGCCAAGCCAACCGCAAGGGGGCAGGCGCCCAAGGUAUGAUU